AUUAAGUUGAGUUUGAUGAUGGCUCUGAAUGAACGCUAUUCAAAUGCCUGACACAUGCUAAUCGUACGUUUGUAGUUUAACAAUUGUUAACUACAAAAGUGGUGUACAGGUGAGUAAAUGGUGAAUUGGUUACCUUAAAGUGAGGGAUAAAAUACCUUAUAACAAAAGGAGUAAUCUGCUUUAAGAUAUUAGUUGUAUCUCGGGUAGGUAGUAGGAGAGGUAAUUGCUCAACUAGCCUAAUAUCCCGUAGUCGAGGCUGAAAGGUCGAUCGACCACAUUGGAUAUGAACAAAAUUCAAUGCAUGAUAGUACAGCAGUGAGGGAUAUUGGUCAAUAGCCGAAAGGCUGAACCAGCAAUUUGAAAGAAUGGCCUUCCGGUCUUAGCCGGUUUGAGGGGGGAUAGAUUAUAUGUAAGAAAUUAUGUAUAAAGGGGUCCAAGCCUUAGGUCAAAAGCCUAGGAUUAAAGUUCUGAAUAGAAUAAUGAUAAUGACAAUUUUCUAAUUCAAGUGUCUUGACAAAUUCAUGUGCCAGCAGUCGCGGUAAUACAUGAUAGACUAGUGUUAUUCAUCUUUAAUGGGUUUAAAGGGUACCUAGACGGAAGUUCAAGCCUGCGAGGGGACUGAAUUUCUAGAGUUUUAUGUGAGAAGGGGAGUACUACUGAUGGAGAGAUGAAAUUUGAUGAUAUCUUUAGGACUGGUAAAGGCGAAGGCAACCUUUUAAGUAAAAACUGACGUUGAGGGACGAAGGCUUAGGUCACGAACAGGAUUAGAUACCCUAGUAGUCUUUGCAGAAAACGCUGAAUGCUAUAGGUUAGAAUUAAAAUUUUUGCCUAUAAAUGAAAAUGUAAGCAUUCCACCUCAAGAGUAAUUCGGCAACGUAGAAACUGAAAUCAUUAGACCGUUUCUUGAAACCAGUAGUGAAGUAUGUUAUUUAAUUCGAUGAUCCACGAAAAAUCUUACCAUAACUUGAAUAGCUGGUAAAAUAUAAAAAUUAUAAUUAUUUUAUAAACGAGUUAUUAAACCUGUCCUAAAAAAGGAAUACAGGAUAAUAAAUAACAGAUAAAAUUUAUCAUAUGAAUUUAUUUCAAAUAAGUAAAUAAGUCAUAUAUACCUUUGCUACAGGUGUUGCACGGCUGUCUUAAGUUAAUGUCGUGAGAUCAUGGUUAGAUCCAACAAUUAGCGUAAGCCCUUAGUUUAUUUAAAAAAAUAUAAAUUAUUAAUAUAUUUAUUAUAAAAAUAUUUAUUAUAAAAAUAUAUUAAGCAAAUAUUUUAAAUAUUUAAAUGUUUAAUGUUUUUAAUAAAUUUAAUAUUAGGAAUAAGAAGAGUAAUAUUUUAAAUAUUUAGGAACAUUAGGGAGGAAUGUUUUUAAUAUUUAGGAAUAUUUAGGAAAAGGUAAUAUUUUGAUGUACAAUAUUAAAUUUAAGAAAUAUUUUUAAUGUUUAGUAUUAAAUUAUUUGUAUUUAUAAAUAAAUAAAUUAGUUCACUAAGAAAAUGGCGUGUGAUAACCGGGAAUAAGACAAGUCAUCAUGGCCCUUCUAUCGUAAAAAAGUUAAUGUUAUGGGCUAUAGACGUGCCACAUAUGCCUUGACAAAGGGAUGCAAAAAUGUGAGUUUUAGCUAAUCCUACAAAAAAAGGAAAUAAAAAAAUGGAUUGUAGUCUGAAAUUCGACUACAUGAAAAAGAAAUUACUAGUAAUCGUGUAUCACAAUGGCACGGUGAAUCUUAUCUCAGAUUGGUACUAACCACUCGUCAGGCGCUGAAAAUUGUGAGUGCAAUAAGUUUGGGGGAUUCAAAUAAAAAGUAUAAGCAACUGGGCUUAUGGCAUUUGAGAAUCUUUCUUCGUAUGCACAGCUUUGAUUAGUGUUAAGUCGAAAUAUGGUUCGUGUAGCGGAAGUUGCACGGGAAUGAUUAAUUAU
rnacentral:rRNA from 1 species